UGGGUAACCUGCCUCAAAGAGGGGAAUAGCCUCCCGAAAGGGAGAUUAAUACCGCAUAAUAUGUUUAGGUCGCAUGACUUUAACAUCAAAGGAUUUUUCUUUUAGAACUUCCACUUUAAGAUGGACCCGCGGCGCAUUAGCUAGUUGGUGAGGUAACGGCUCACCAAGGCAACGAUGCGUAGCCGACCUGAGAGGAUGAUCGGCCACAUUGGAACUGAGACACGGUCCAGCUCCGUAGGAG
rnacentral:rRNA from 1 species